rnacentral:misc_RNA from 1 species
UCUCGUAGGUGACCUGCGGAGGGAUCAUUACACAAAUAUGAAGGCGGGCUGGAACCUCUCGGGGUUACAGCCUUGCUGAAUUAUUCACCCUUGUCUUUUGCGUACUUCUUGUUUCCUUGGUGGGUUCGCCCACCACUAGGACAAACAUAAACCUUUUGUAAUUGCAAUCAGCGUCAGUAACAAAUUAAUAAUUACAACUUUCAACAACGGAUCUCUUGGUUCUGGCAUCGAUGAAGAACGCAGCGAAAUGCGAUAAGUAGUGUGAAUUGCAGAAUUCAGUGAAUCAUCGAAUCUUUGAACGCACAUUGCGCCCUUUGGUAUUCCAAAGGGCAUGCCUGUUCGAGCGUCAUUUGUACCCUCAAGCUUUGCUUGGUGUUGGGCGUCUUGUCUCUAGCUUUGCUGGAGACUCGCCUUAAAGUAAUUGGCAGCCGGCCUACUGGUUUCGGAGCGCAGCACAAGUCGCACUCUCUAUCAGCAAAGGUCUAGCAUCCAUUAAGCCUUUUUUUCAACUUUUGACCUCGGAUCAGGUAGGGAUACCCGCUGAACUUAAGCAUAUCAAA